UUGAUUGCUAAAUUUGUGUUCUAUUUGUCCUAAUUGUGAAGUGAUUUAUUCCAGAAUUUGUUGAAUAAUUGACAUGUGGGAUGGAGAAAACUGGUUUUAACACAAGGAUGGAUGACAAAUUUUAAUAAAUGAUUCAAUUGUGUAAUUCCCGCUGUCAGUUGCAAAACCAUGCAAUCAUUUGCCAAAUCUCAGCUCAUUGUGUUCAAUUCUGGUCUGAUCCUCCAAAUGAGAUAUUGAGUUUCCUCACGGCAGAUGCAGUGGUAGUGACUCUAUGUUAACUCAGGUUUAGAGCCUGUUCGUUUGUCUAUAAUUGAGUUUCCUCACAGAAGAUGCACUCUAAUUUGGUCUCUUUGGAAAAACAGGAGCGAAGCGCUUUGGAAUUCUAAUCAGAUUACAAGCUAUGCUUCCUCCUUCCUUCAUCAGUGAUUAGCUGCCCAAGUUAGUGACCAUCCAUCCUAUUUUGACUACUCUUCGACAGUUUCUGUGGUUGAUUUGUUGAAAUGGCACAAGCCUGCUUCGGGAUUCUUGAAAUGCAAUACAGAUGCUUCCUCCCGUCUGCAUCAUAACAAAAUUGAGCAAGUUGGGUUCUUUGUGAUUGGAGAGGACAGCUGAUUAAGGCUUGCUAAAUUGAGCUGCUUGGUCCACCUGAUCCGAAAAUCACUGAAGCUCUCUCUCUCCAAGAAGCUCUUAGCUUGAUUGAUGGAAGGGGCAUGUGAAAGAACGGAAGCGUGAAAAACACAAGUUUAUACCAUUGAAUUCAAAAUUUUUCACCUAGGAUCACAUGCAUCAUGCAAGAUUUAUUUUUAUCUAUUUGAUUUCAAUGAUAAACAACAUAUUAAAACUCUUUUAAUA